CAUCCUCUAAUGUUUCUUACUUCCUGCCAACCCUGGCUUCCCUUCCAUCAGGGAAGCGUUCAGUUCUCUCUACUCCUAAUAUGCUCACAAAUGGACACAUUUCCUCAGCUGCUGCUGACUUUUCUUGCACUCUCUCUCUCUCUGUUGCCCUGGUUGCCAGUUUGGGCCUGGUGGUACCAGUGUUUUCCUGAGCCUGGUCUGAGCUCCUGAAGCCCUCUGUCCCCUAGUUCUGUGGACCGCCUAGGCUCUGGAGCCUCUGGCUCGUGCUGUGUGCCAUUCUGUCUCUUCCCCUUCCCUGUCUUACUCCCGUGGGUGUCGAGCUGCUUCCAGUGCCAGUACAUCUUCAGCCAGAGCCUCUCAGUCACUAAUCUUUAUGUUAAGUGUAAGUUUCAACUACAGGGCAGGUGGCUCUCGUGUCCCACUAACAUUUUACCUUAUAAUCUGCGAGGCUGGCAAUACACGAUAAUUCAAUUCAAAAGCCACAGUGGUCGUAUGACCUGGAUUCAUAGACAAAGUUUUAUAACUGGGUUGGGGCUCCACCUUUCACAUAUCCUCAUUUCACGUCUAAAGUCAUCUAUCUCUGUUCUCGUGUGGACGUGACUGCUGUGUGCCAAGGGCCAAGGGUACAGGUUGCUGUCACUUAGCUGUGUCGAGUACGCUUUUUGCAUGCUGGGCACAAAAGGCAUUCUUAGAAAAAGGCACAGAGUCAGAGGCUGCAGCAGGGAGGAGACAAGGUACACAGGACAGCAAUCUGAGCUUCACUGGGAGCAAAUCAGCACAUGCAAGCACAUUUGGUUGUAUUGCUGAGCUAAGCUUUGUUUGGGUCUGAUCUUCCAAUCUGUGGCCUCAGGGCAAACAGGUGAUCAGGUGUGUGUGUGUGUGUGUGUGUGUGUGUGUGUGUGUGUGUGUGUUCAGCAUUUGCGCAGCUGGCUGGCAUGGAAGAUAGACACUGUUACAAAUUCUUUACCACAAAAGAGGAACGCUGCACAGAGGUGGUCAAGAACCCAGAUACAGGAAAGCACCCAGCACAUGUACAACCCCAUCGUCCCCGAAGCUGCCUUGGCUACGGGACUUCUUUGGCUGGUGGGAAGUUGCUGAGGGAACGGGGGAACGGGCUACUUCCAUACAGAGUUGUAACAGCCCGUCUAUGAUCUGCUGUCCCUCCUUACCUGCCUCAGUGAUGGUGGGAGUGUGUGUCUCAAUCCUGUGGGCGGGCGGGCGGGUGCCUGAGCGAGGAUGAGAAGCAGAGCCCUCUGCUGACCUGAACUAGAGAUGCACAAAAAGGAAGGAACGGUGGCUAAAGGAUAAACAGCGUGACAUCAAUCUCAGCUCAAACGUGUGCUCUGCGGAGGGAACCCUGGACGAUCAAGGUGUCAACAGCGCUCUCGGCCUGGGCCCCCAGGAAGGAAGCUACACAUACAAUGUGGCACGCAUAUCUGAUAGGAUCUUGAUUUUUGGCCAGGUCUGUGCUCCGACACUCCUCUACUGCUCCCUACUGGUCAACAUUAUUCAGCAGCUGGCUAACUGCACACAUAGCAAUCCACUGGGGCACAAGUAGCAACCUUUACUCUCUGCGCUUCAUCCCAAUUUAUUUUAGAGAGAUUUAUAUGACAGAAAUAGUCAAAAUAAUGAUCCAUGUGGAGCAACGAAUGUUUUUUAGACAAUCCGUUUUCAAGGAUUUCCAUUGGGCACUAUUUAUCAUCGUUACUCCCUCUCCUCUCUUAAAGAAGGUAUUUUUAUUGACUUACAGUGUGAACUACUUGAUUCCUUGCUUUAUUAUAAAGGCUUUCGAGAAUGUUACGGUUCAACCUACACAAGGUAUUGUUUUAAUGCCUUUAACAUAAGUCCUGGAUGCUUGCCAGGUAAAAGUCUACGAAAGUUCACAAGUGAAGGGG